UACGUAGGCAGCAAGCGUUGUUCGGAGUUACUGGGCGUAAAGGGUGUGUAGGCGGCUUUCUCAGUUUGGUGUGAAAUCUCCCGGCUCAACUGGGAGGGUGCGCCGAAGACUGGGAGGCUAGAGUAUGGGAUGGGAGAGUGGAAUUCCUGGUGUAGCGGUGAAAUGCGUAGAUAUCAGGAGGAACACCGAUGGCGAAGGCAGGUCUCUGGGCCGAUACUGACGCUGAGGAGCGAAAGCGUGGGGAGUGAACAGG
rnacentral:rRNA from 1 species